rnacentral:rRNA from 1 species
GAUGAACGCUGGCUACAGGCUUAACACAUGCAAGUCGAGGGGAAACGACGGGGAAGCUUGCUUCCCCGGGCGUCGACCGGCGCACGGGUGAGUAACGCGUAUCCAACCUGCCUCUGACUGAGGGAUAACCCGUCGAAAGUCGGCCUAAUACCUCAUGGUAUCGCCUGCGGGCAUCCAACGACGAUUAAAGAUUUCAUCGGUCAGGGAUGGGGAUGCGUCUGAUUAGCUUGUUGGCGGGGUAACGGCCCACCAAGGCUACGAUCAGUAGGGGUUCUGAGAGGAAGGUCCCCCACAUUGGAACUGAGGCACGGCCCAAACUCCUACGGGAGGAAGCAGUGAGGAAUAUUGGUCAAUGGGCGAGGGCCUGAACCAGCCAAGUAGCGUGCAGGAAGACGGCCCUAUGGGUUGUAAACUGCUUUUAUGCGGGGAUAAAGUGAGGGACGUGUCCCUCAUUGCAGGUACCGCAUGAAUAAGGACCGGCUAAUUCCGUG